CCUACGGGGGGCAGCAGUGGGGAAUAUUGGACAAUGGGGGCAACCCUGAUCCAGCCAUGCCGCGUGUGUGAAGAAGGCCCUCGGGUUGUAAAGCACUUUCAGUGAGGAAGAACGCCUGGUGGUUAAUACCCAUCAGGAAAGACAUCACUCACACAAGAAGCACCGGCUAACUCCGUGCCAGCAGCCGCGGUAAUACGGAGGGUGCGAGCGUUAAUCGGAAUUACUGGGCGUAAAGCGCGCGUAGGUGGCUUGAUAAGCCGGUUGUGAAAGCCCCGGGCUCAACCUGGGAACGGCAUCCGGAACUGUCAAGCUAGAGUGUAGGAGAGGAAGGUAGAAUUCCCGGUGUAGCGGUGAAAUGCGUAGAGAUCGGGAGGAAUACCAGUGGCGAAGGCGGCCUUCUGGACUGACACUGACACUGAGGUGCGAAAGCGUGGGUAGCAAACAGGAUUAGAUACCCCUGUAGUC
rnacentral:rRNA from 1 species